AGCUUUGCGCAGUGGCGAUAUCGUAACCGAUGAGGUCCAUCCGAGGUGCGAUUAUUGCUAGUUGAAAAAAAAAAUUAUUGUUGCUAUGCCGUAGACUAGUAUAAUAUCUACACAUUAAUGUACAUAUGUUUGCCUA